UAUGACUACCUGGUUAUGACUCUGACUACC
rnacentral:piRNA from 1 species